rnacentral:snRNA from 1 species
AUCACUUCUCAGCCUUUUGGCUAAGAUCAAGAGUAGUAUCAGUUCUUACCAGUUAUUUUUUUUUUUUCUUUUGAGACAGAGUCUCGCCAUGUUGCCCAGGCUGGAGUGCAGUGAAUGGCGCAAUCUCGGCUCACUGCAACCUCC